rnacentral:misc_RNA from 1 species
GCUUACAAAUAUUCCCAAAACCUGUUCAGGGAAACAAUAACAUUAAAAUACAGUAAUAGACAAAUCGUACAUGCAUACCCCGGUCAACACCAAAUCAUAAAACUUAUACCCCAAAUCGAUAUUCAAUCCAUUUAUCAAUAAUAGCUCAAACACAACAAAAAUCCAGUGUGUAGUAGACAGGAAUCCCAAAAUCAAAAACCUCAACUCUAAAGCACAUGAAACUAGGAAUUAAAAAACAAGAAAAGAGAGCAUACUUCAAUUCAAUCGAUAAUAGCAAGAAACAAUAGAAACCCCAAGGGGAGAAAAGAAUAAAAGAUUAAAAAGGCAAAGGUUAUGCAAAAAGGAUUA